rnacentral:piRNA from 1 species
GUUAACAUUUUUGGCUGACUUGUGCAUCC